CCUGAUCAGAGUUGAGAAUUACUCUGAGUAAAUAUACACUGUGCCACGAAGCUCCUGAGACGAGUCGGCUAGAUCAGGAGUUCUCCAUCUGAUCUCUAGAGAUCCACCACUUUGCACAGUUUCCAGUUUCAGAUGAAAUCACAUUCUACUUUUUCCAACACCUGCUAAAACCUUCAUGACUGUGAGGAGUGUUCUCGGGGAUGCGGUGGAUCCCGAGCCAAUCCUAGGAAUACAGGGUAUGAGGUGGGAAUAGACCAUGGAAAAAGAGGUCAGUUGAACACACACACACACACACAUUCACACUUAGGGGCAAUUACGCAUUGCAAGUCUACCUAAAUGCAUGUUUUUGGAAGGUGGGAGGAAACCGGACAAUGUGGAGUAAUCCCACAGGGGAGCAUGUGGAAUUCUACAUAUAUAUAUACUUUACCAGAUAAAAAUCCAUUCCCUUUAUUCUCCUCAAUGGUUUACUUAUGCCUGCCAGGGAGGGCCAACUCAAUUUUUGAAUACCACUUCUCUAGGUUUUGUGAUGUAAAUCUACAGAUUCUUCAAAAUUCUCAUUUUAUUCCCCUUUUAUGAGAGUAGAGGCUUUGCAACAAACUGUACCAAAGCUGUAAAACUGAAUGUCAGCUUGCUCGUAUUUCAGAUACUAGGUAAGCGGAAAAAGCCCUAUAGGUAUAAAAUAAAUGCUUAUGACUGGGCAGUGGUCCACUCAUUAAUUCAGUAAAAGUUUAGUACAAUUCUGAGGCAUGAAAAUGCUUUACAGCACAGCUUAUAAAUUCUGCUGCUACUUGCGCUUAUUAUACUAGGCCAAAACAAAUUGAUAGCUCUUAAUGCUGGCUCUCUAAGAAGCAUAUUUUUGGACUAUAAUGUGGUUUUAGAUGUUUGUCACAGUGUUACAGCAUGCAGUGAUAUAUAUGUCGGUGAUCUGACUACACAGCCGGAUUCUUUCACAUGAUACUGUUAAUCCACUACACAACA